UUUUUUUUUUUGCCAUAGAGCUCAUUGUAGCGAAGCAGCAGCGAGAGCGCAUUAUUGUAACGCGAAAGCACAUUAAAAUAAUCCGCUCGCAUGCAGAUUUCCUUUGCUUUGUCACAAAACCAGACGCGCGUGCUCAGAUACAGGCUGCUCUCGCUCGCUCACUCACAACUCUCUCUAUGCUCAUGCGCUAGAUAUUCAUUCUUUUCGCACCUUUCGAUUUCUAACCGUUUCUGUUCACAUCUUUUACCGCGUGCAGUGUGAAGCUCUGAUCCAUUAACAUGGGCUCGAAAAAAAUACGCAUCAAAGACAGCGUGUGAUCCUGGAGUUAGGCAUAUGCCCAGUCUGUUCUGUUCUCGCGCUCCACUUAGGUGCGCUGCAUUCUGAUUGGAUCGGAUAGCAUACUGCGGGAGGUCGCGGCCGCGGAAAAUCGUGCUAUAAAGCGAUUUAGAAAUCGCACACGCUCAAAUCGUGAUUUUAUUAUGAUUUUAAUUAAUUGCACAGCCCUAAUUGUGUCAUGAAAUGUAGUUUUAAAAGUAUUUCUGUGGCUAUUAAUGUGUUUAAAUGAAAACAAAAAGAGGCAGUGGUGUUUGGUAUCAUAUUUCGUCUUAUUGUAAAUACAGUGAGGAAAAUGGAACACUGCUGUUCCAUUUGCAGAAUUACCGGAUUUGCGUUUUCCUGUUCCCAGGAGUUUACACUCCCGAGUCAAACUCGCGAAUUCCGAACUACUGAGGAUGCAAUCCCAAAUUUCAAGGACCCGUGAGAACCCUAUUUUAUUACAGGGACUCCCAAUGCCACUGGAGCAGCCCGGAGAAAAGAGCCUUGCUGAAGGACACACUGGUGGUGACGACUUCAGAAAUCGAACCAGUGAACUUCUGCUUCCUACCAGUUCCGGGGUUUAGCACACUACACCACAAAAGUAAUGAAGCUACGACAAAAGUUAGCAUGUAAUCGUAAACGUGAAAGAAUGCUGACAAUAUGAAUUUUUAAAUGUUGUAAUUGGUUUAAAUGUUUCAUGGGUAGUCAUGCUCAUGGAGACCAGGCACAUGAAUCUUUGGAGCAGCCAACACCCCCACGUGAUCUCCCAUUCUUGCCUCAAGGUUGUGGGGUUCAGGGGCCGUCGUCAUGGUCAACUCAUCCUCUGGCUCAAUGAUGUCCUCAUUAAGAAGUGCGAGAUUGUGAAGCACAGUGCAGUACGCGAACACCUCAGGCACGAAGGCAGGGCUGAUCUAAGGCCUCAAAGAAAAUAGAGCGUCAGCGUGUCUUCAUUAUCCUGAAAGCUCUCUCAACGAUGUUCUAGGCACUGGAGUGAAUGCUGUUAAAACGAGCCUGCACAGGGUUCUGUACAGAAUCUGUAUGGGGUGAUGAGGCAGAUGGGGCAAGGAUAUCCCACAAAGAUGUCAAUAAAUUUCCCCUGGUGGUCUGUGAUGUCCUGGAGUUGGAUGGAGUGAAACAACUUCCUGCUGAAGUAACAGUGGGAGUCAAUUGCUGGUGGUUUCAUUCGGAUAUGACAGCCGUCUAUUGCACCAACUGCACUGCUGAAAGCUGGUGACCCAGCCACCUGUGCAAAUCCUGCUCUCACUGCCUCCAGAUCAUCUCCGGUCGGAGAGCAAAUCACGCUCCUCAAAAUUCCCAGGACUGCUUUGCUUACUCUGAACACAAUAUCAUGCACAGAGAUCUUAGGUAUAUUAAAGGUCUGUGACACCACCCUGUAGGAUCCUGUACAACACAAGCACCUCGAUGUCCCUUUUCCACCCAGGGUCAGAUUCCUGUCUGACUGCCCCAAUGAGGGACCUGAUGGACGGCAAAGACAGGUGAAUGUGGUCAGCUACUUUAUCCAAAUAAAGCCGCAGAAUUGCCACAGCUCUGUUGAGAUGGCAGUUAGAUGUUGGGUUCACUGUCUUUUAUAUGUGAUAGUUUUUGUUCAUGUUUCCUAUUGUUG
ensembl:lncRNA